rnacentral:lncRNA from 1 species
GGUUACAUAGUAUAGUUUCUGUAUUCCUGAUUGGACCUCAACUUGUUUUUCAGUGAAUAUUUCCCCAAAGCUUCCCUUCUAACAGUUACGAUUUGCUAAGAUGAACUGCUUAAAAUCACAGAGCCAACAUCACUCCAUCAAUUAAUGUGGUUGGUUCAGGAAAGUUUUCCAUGGAAGAAAACUGUGCCUAAGAAAACCCAGGCCUAAUCUGCAGCCUGACUCCAUAGUCCAGAAUCUAUUCUUUGUGGUAAGUUUUUCAGGGGCUUCUAAACUUCCAGCUAACCUCAGCUACAUCAUCCUCAGUCAACUAAAGGUGUGUGAACAACCUGCAACCUCAAAGGAAACAGGGGUGAGGUUUUCCAUUACUUUCUUUCCAGAAAUCAUUUUAGAAAUUUGCCCAUCCCCCUCAUGGCAUUCUUAGAAUUUCAUAUUCUAAGGGAUUUAGAGUGGAGCAGCUUCAGUCACAGGGGAAAAAUUAAAAAGAAGCCUAAUGCACUUUUGCCCCAGAACAAUGGAUGCCUAUUUGUCUUACAUCCACUUAAUUAAAAAUGGUUCUUCCCACAGCAAAGUAAUGUCUACACUGGUAAAAGUCAAAGUAUUUGUCAGUUUUUAAAAUGCCUAAUUUCUCAUUAGAAGACUUCAAGUUCUGCCUCAAUAGUCAUCCAUCUACACUAUUAUUUUUAUUCU